AUUGAACGCUGGCGGCAUGCUUUACACAUGCAAGUCGAACGGUAACAGGCCGCAAGGUGCUGACGAGUGGCGAACGGGUGAGUAAUGCAUCGGAACGUGCCCAGUCGUGGGGGAUAACGCAGCGAAAGCUGUGCUAAUACCGCAUACGAUCUAUGGAUGAAAGCGGGGGACCGUAAGGCCUCGCGCGAUUGGAGCGGCCGAUGUCAGAUUAGGUAGUUGGUGGGGUAAAGGCCCACCAAGCCAACGAUCUGUAGCGGGUCUGAGAGGACGACGAGCCACACUGGGACUGAGGCACGGGCCAGACUCCUACGGGAGGCAGCAGUGGGGAAUUUUGGACAAUGGGCGCAAGCCUGAUCCAGCAAUGCCGCGUGCAGGAAGAAGGCCUUCGGGUUGUAAACUGCUUUUGUACGGAACGAAACGGUCUGGGUUAAUACCCUGGGCUAAUGACGGUACCGUAAGAAUAAGCACCGGCUAACUACGUGCCAGCCGCCGCAGUAAAAC
rnacentral:rRNA from 1 species